CAGCAGCCGCGGGAAUACGGAGGGUGCAAGCGUUAAUCGGAAUUACUGGGCGUAAAGCGCACGCAGGCGGUUUGUUAAGUCAGAUGUGAAAUCCCCGAGCUUAACUUGGGAACUGCAUUUGAAACUGGCAAGCUAGAGCCUUGUAGAGGGGGGUAGAAUUCCAGGUGUAGCGGUGAAAUGCGUAGAGAUCUGGAGGAAUACCGGUGGCGAAGGCGGCCCCCUGGACAAAGACUGACGCUCAGGUACGAAAGCGUGGGGAGCAAACAGGAUUAGAGACCCCGGUAGUCCCUGUCUCUUAUAC
rnacentral:rRNA from 1 species